GAUGAACGCUGGCGGCGUGCCUAAUACAUGCAAGUCGAGCGUCCGGACGAGACGCUUGCUUCUCUGUUGUUAGCGGCGGACGGGUGAGUAACACGUGGAUAACCUACCUAUAAGACUGGGAUAACUUCGGGAAACCGGAGCUAAUACCGGAUGAUAUUUUGAACCGCAUGGUUCAAGAGUGAAAGACGCUCUUGCUGUCACUUAUAGUUGGACCCGCGCUGCAUUAGCUAGUUGGUAAGGUAACGGCUUACCAAGGCAACGAUGCAUAGCCUACCGAAGAGGGGGAUCGGCCACACGGGAACUGAGAGACGGUCCAGACUCCUACGGGAGUCAGCAGUAGGGAAUCUUCAGCAGUGGGCGAAGGCCUGACGGAGGAACUCCGAGUGAGUGAUGAAGGUCUUCGGAUCGUAAAACUCUGUUAUUAGGGAAGAACAUAUGUGUAAGUGACUGUGCACAUCUUGACGGUACCUAAGCAGAAAGCCACGGCUAACUACGUG
rnacentral:rRNA from 1 species